rfam:Echinostoma caproni strain Egypt genome assembly, scaffold: ECPE_scaffold0036217
UACGGGGUGGCCGAGUGGUUAAGGCGAUGGACUGCUAAUCCAUUGGGGUUUCCCCGCGUGGGUUCGAAUCCCAUCCCCGUCG